rnacentral:misc_RNA from 1 species
AAAAUGUGAUAAUCAUUGUGACUAGCAGAAUUCAGCGAAUCAAUAGAAAGCUCAACGCACACGGCACUGCGGUUCGCCGCAGUAGGCCUGCAUCAGUGUCAUUUACAAUCUUUUUUUCCAUUUUUGGAAUUAAAGGCAAGGCUUUGCUCAUUUUAUUUAUUUUUGAAUAGAAUUGGCAGAGGAUGUGUUUGAAUGUGUCUUACAAAAACAGAUCUGCAUAGAAAUGUUGAGUAUUGAAGCAUUCACUUACAAGCAUUGGACCUGAUGUCAGACCAGGCUACCCGCUGAACUUAA